rfam:Heterocephalus glaber contig103346, whole genome shotgun sequence.
AGAGAUUUAGCUCAAUGGUAGAGCACUUACCUAGCAUUAUGAGGCCCUAGGUUCAAUCCCAAGAAUAUUUU